CACUGCGGACGACAUUAUUGAAUUUUUUGAAGGAGUUGUUGCUGGCCUCUCUUGUGGGGGGCAUGUGCACGCUUCGUUCAAUUAUUAUCUUCACACCCCUGUGCACCUUUUGUAGGUUGGUCGGAAGAUCUUCCUAUGUCUAUCUAUAAACUCUUUAAAAAGUAUCUAGAAUGUACUGCGUAUAACGCAUUUUUAUACAACUUUCAGCAACGGAUCUCUUGGCUCUCGCAUCGAUGAAGAACGCAGCGAAAUGCGAUAAGUAAUGUGAAUUGCAGAAUUCAGUGAAUCAUCGAAUCUUUGAACGCACCUUGCGCUCCUUGGUACUCCGAGGAGCAUGCCUGUUUGAGUGUCAUGGAAUUCUCAACUCUUCUGUCUUUGUUGAUGGUUGAGCUUGGAUUUGGAGGUUAUUAAUGCUGGCUCAGUAAAAUGGGUUGGCUCCUCUUGAAUGCAUUAGCUUGAACCUCUGCGGAUCGGCUGUUCGGUGUGAUAGAUUGUCUACGCCGUCGCUGUGAAGCUUUAAAAUGUGGGGAUCUAGCUUCUAAAAAAUGUCUUGUUGACACAAGACUAUCUUUUUGACCUCUGACCUCAAAUCAGGCAGGAUUACCCGCUGAACUUAAGCAUAUCAAAA
rnacentral:rRNA from 1 species